ensembl:lncRNA
GUCAUUGCUGUGGAUCUUUACCUGAUACACUGACUUGGCUCGGGACCACUCCUGCUACUUGAGAUGUGACUGCACUAUGCUGUUGCUGGUGACCACAGUUAAUUCUACAAGACAUGCUGUGACACCAGGAGAGAUGAGUCCUCCGUCACAGAUGGUGUGGUCAGUGAAGAUGGUCGCCUGCAGGUUCAAGCUCAUUGCAUCUCCAACCCACAUCCACUGCCACUGUACUUAAGGGAAGUUAAAGACUUUCUUCUGCACCUACAUUUGGAUCACCUCGAUCCAUGACAGUCAUUCAGGCAGUAAUGCCUGGACUGGAAACAAGCAUCCUUAAAAUAAUACAACAUUCCAGCUCCUGUGUUGGAAUGGAAAACAAAUGUGUUGUUUAAAUUAGAGACUGCACUUGUGACAGAACAACAAAUAUUUUAUUUUGAUUAUAUAAGUAAUGUAAGUACAAAA